UCCGGUUUGGCACCGGCAGUCUCCCUAGAGUUCCCGGCAUCACCCGCUGGCAACAUAGGACAAGGGUUGCGCUCGUUGCGGGACCUAACCCAACAUCUCACGACACGAGCUGACGACAACCAUGCACCACCUGUGUAGGGCCCCGAAGGACACCGUAUCUCUACGGCUUUUCCCUACAUGUCAAGGGUAGGUAAGGUUUUUCGCGUUGCAUCGAAUUAAUCCGCAUGCUCCGCCGCUUGUGCGGGCCCCCGUCAAUUCCUUUGAGUUUUAGCCUUGCGGCCGUACUUCCCAGGCGGGGCACUUAAUGCGUUAGCUACGGCACGGAGCCCGUCGAUCGAGCCCCACACCUAGUGCCCAACGUUUACGGCGUGGACUAC
rnacentral:misc_RNA from 1 species